GUUCUUUUGUGUUUCAUAAGUGUGAUGAUUGGGUUUUUUGCUCGUGUGUGAGAUGUGCCUCCCUCAAACCUUAUUAUGACGUCGGCACAUCACCCAUCUGCCG